UGUAAGGAAGACAGAGGCAGAAA
rnacentral:misc_RNA from 1 species